AUUGAACGCUGGCGGCAUGCCUUACACAUGCAAGUCGAACGGCAGCACGGGUGCUUGCACCUGGUGGCGAGUGGCGAACGGGUGAGUAAUACAUCGGAACGUACCUUAUCGUGGGGGAUAACGCAGCGAAAGCUGUGCUAAUACCGCAUACGCCCUGAAGGGGAAAGCGGGGGAUCGAAAGACCUCGCGCGAUUAGAGCGGCCGAUGCCUGAUUAGCUUGUUGGUGGGGUAAAAGCCCACCAAGGCGACGAUCAGUAGCUGGUCUGAGAGGACGAUCAGCCACACUGGGACUGAGACACGGCCCAGACUCCUGCGGGGGGCAGCAGUGGGGAAUUUUGGACAAUGGGGGCAACCCUGAUCCAGCAAUGCCGCGUGAGUGAAGAAGGCCUUCGGCUUGUAAAGCUCUUUUGUCAGGGAAGAAACACCGGCUCUAACACAGUCCGGGAAUGACGGUACCUGAAGAAUAAGCACCGGCUAACUACGUGCCAGCAGCCGCCGUAA
rnacentral:rRNA from 1 species